AAAUCGCUCUAGUUCAUGGACAACGCGCUUGGGAGAAGUUAUAAUCUUAUAUUCAAUAUUCGUUCAAUCCCAGACGAUUCCUAGAGAAAGAAAUAUACUUUCUGUAUAUGGAUUUCACCAAAAGAUUCCUAGACCAAAGUGAAGAUCGCUUAAUACAUACACCAAUUACAUCUUGUCUUGUGCCUCUUUGUACGACUAUUAGUUGGAAUAAAAUGACUUAACCUCUAAAUGAAUUAGUAUCCGGCGUAUUAACUUGAAGUGUUCAACACAAUGUUUUUUUAGAAUGCUGAUGGGACGUUGAAUGCUCAUCAAUGUUGAUUGGAAUCUGUUCGAAAACAUUUCAUAAGAUUUGUAGUAAUCUCAGACGAAUCAAAUGGUUUACACAAUCUUCCCUUCACUUCUAAUUUUUAAUAGUAGAGUGUUGAACACAAAUGUUACUACCUGAAAAAACUGCACAGCAGGAGGAGGAAGAUUCAAAAGUGUAUUUUUAUAUAUAAGAUUAGUCUAAUUUCUUAUUCAUACGUGUUUUCUUCCUCCUUUAAUGAAAAUUUCUGAUGAUGAUUUGUUACCAUCAGUAAUUAGUUAUUCCUUACUGUUUUAAAGUUAUUUUCUUACUAUCACAAAAAAUGUUAAUCAAACAUUUGUGAAAUAAAAGGUGCACAAACAGUUAGAUUAAACUUAACGAGAAAAACAACAUUUAUCUUAUCUUUUAAUAUGAACAAAUAUUUACUUGUGUUACUUCUGUCAAAUCCAACAAUAUUUGUUAUGAUCAUUAUAUUAGAGCAAUAUUUUAUUCAUUCGAGUUUCCCUCCUUCCUUAAUGGAGUUAUCUCAUGAUCAUUUGUUAGUCCCAUUAAUUAGUUAUUCCUAGCUCUGAUUUAUAACUUAUAAGUUAUUAACUGUGUUGGCUCUUUCUGAUCGAGAUUUUGUGAAUAAACAAUUUAUGUAUUACAUUAGAAUUGACCUUGAAUAAGGAAAUUUU
rnacentral:lncRNA from 1 species